CAAAAUUAUCUCAUUACACUUAAAAUAAGACACAAUCAGCUACAGAGCAACAUUUCAGUAAGAUUUCGAGUUAACUCGAAAUUUUGAGUAAAGUAAGUCAAAAUUUCGAGCUACUUUUCUCAAAAUUUCGAGUUAAUAAGUUGAAAUUUCAAGUUAUAGAUGCUUUUUUUGUUGUUGUUUUUUUGUGGCAGAAACGGGCUUCCAUACACCUGUGACCUGAUGGAUGUUAGCAUUAAACACAAGAGACACUAAAACACAUCAUGAAAAACAUGAUUUAAGCCCUACAACAGAAUAAAAGAAACAAAUAUAAGAAUUAACCCUUUCACACAUAGUGGUCACUACAGUUACAGCUAUUCAAAGGCUGUGUUCUUGUAUUUGUGUCAGUGUUGAUGGUAUACUUGCACAUAAACCACUACAUUGGACACUGAUGUGUCACUGCAUACCCUGCUACCCACUGGUCAUUUAAUGUUACUGUAGAUGUGUGACGUGUUUCACUGUAAUUAUUGUUAUUAUUGUUAUUUUUCUUAAGCAUUUUUAUUCAUCUUUUCAUGCCUAAAGAUGAUUAAAAAUACUUAAGUAAAAAAUCCUGAUUGAGGUCGUCUUAAUUCAUGCAUGAAACGGUUAAAAGACAAAUUAAACAUUAAGCGGUUAAGUUAGCAUAACAACACCACACAAGUACACAAGCUAACACCAGUAAGCAGUGUUACUUGCUUCACUUGUCAGUGGUUUUAAUGUUGUGGCUGACUGAUGUGUCUCAUGCAGUAGAGUGAAUACACACUCUGAGUCUCCUAAUAUGAAAACAUGUUACUGUUUCACAAACACACGAGUAAGCAAUGGGCUUCAGACUGAGUUAAUGUUAGUAUUAAAAUGAGAAUUCAACAAGUUCAUUCUUAUCUUAAGAGCCAGUGUUACCAGUGUUUUUGCUGGUUUUAUCAUCUUCCAGUCAGGUUUACCUUAGCUCAAAGUUAAGCACUUUAGAAAUCACUCCUGUGCUUCUGCUAGUAAAGUGUUUUGUGUGGAAACUUUAAAUCUGCUGUGUUUAAAUGAAAUGCUGAUGUUUUUAGAAACAGAGUAAUGUGUAAUGCUGUGUGAUGGUUAUUGUGUCUGUAUCUAGUCAGGUCCACACCUACUUAUUCACUGGUUUCAUUGUAGAAGUUAAGAAAUCAAAACUAUGUAGUCACACAGAUACCGAUGACAGACCGGGACACUAUUGUUGGUGUGUUGCUCAGGUUCAUGAGAUCAUACCUUGAAUAAUUUGAACACGGCUCUUCCAGUAGCUGAAACCUGUUAAAAUUCAGGAAUCUAAAAUGCUUCAUUUACACUUGCUGCAGGCUACAUCCAUGUGUCAUACUAUAUAUAUUUUGUAAUUCAAAGGUCUUCAUCUUUGUUCUACACGAGGCUGAAAUAAGCAGGUCUGCCCAAACCUGGUUACUGUAUCAUCUCGAGACAUAUUUUUGAAUUUUUAUGGAUUCGUCUGCAGAUUUUCUUCAGAUAUUUUCUUCUUUAAAUGAAAUAAACUUUAUUUUACUGUUUUUCUAACAUUA
ensembl:lncRNA